rnacentral:rRNA from 1 species
AUUGAACGCUGGCGGCAUGCCUUACACAUGCAAGUCGAACGGCAGCACGGGGGCAACCCUGGUGGCGAGUGGCGAACGGGUGAGUAAUGCAUCGGAACGUGCCCAGUAGUGGGGGAUAACCCGGCGAAAGCCGGGCUAAUACCGCAUACGACCCAAGGGUGAAAGCGGGGGACCGUAAGGCCUCGCGCUAUUGGAGCGGCCGAUGUCUGAUUAGCUAGUUGGCGGGGUAAGAGCCCACCAAGGCGACGAUCAGUAGCUGGUCUGAGAGGACGACCAGCCACACUGGGACUGAGACACGGCCCAGACUCCUACGGGAGGCAGCAGUGGGGAAUUUUGGACAAUGGGCGCAAGCCUGAUCCAGCCAUGCCGCGUGCGGGAAGAAGGCCUUCGGGUUGUAAACCGCUUUUGGCAGGAACGAAACGGCGCAAGCCAAUACCUUGCGCUAAUGACGGUACCUGCAGAAUAAGCACCGGCUAACUACGUGCCAGCCGCCGCAGUAAUAC